CUUUAGGAUACUUAAACUGUAGGAGUGGAUAUCAUAUAAGGAGGGAAUAAACACACACUAAUGGUAUACUUUUCCAUAUAACUAAAGGAAAAAAUAUCGUGCAUCCAGGACCAAAGAAUAGCAUCCUACUUUUAGAGUGGGAAAUGCAUCAUGGAGUGAUGAAGUAGUGGCUCUAAACAGGAUUCGAGGAAUAUUUGCAAGAUCUUUGCUUCUUCAUCACCAGAAGUUCCAGUUAGUUCUUGUGGAGAUGGCUGGGAGAGCCUCAAAAAGAGGAUUAUGAGGUGGGAGGGGGACGUGAGGAGAGAUGCACGUGAGGUGGCAGUUUUCAGCAGCAGUGAUUUGAGAGAGAUUGCUGAUGGCCUUCUUCCUCCACGCUGGAAGAAGCAGGAUGAAAGGUGUAAGGACUUCUGCGUAAUACAGAGAUAUCUUCUGAAGUCUAGUGACUGGUUUAUUUCCUUCUGCUGCCCAAGAUGGACCUGCUGUAAGCUUCGCGUUCAGUUGAAUUGGAGAAAUACUGGUUAACUGUUUUUGCAACAUUCCUGCAUUUGGUGUUGUCAGGACUUGAUGCUGUCUUGUGUUCUAGGAGGAUGAUGGCUCAACAAACAAUCCUAUUGUCACAAAUGCAUAAAUAGUUCAGCAAGAAAUGUAACAAAGGCACUCUGAUACUACAGAAACAAUAAGCAGCAGGGACAAUAGAACGUCUUGGGAAGAAAUGUCUUCUGUUGAGGCCAGCAUCAUCUGGAGAAUUGAAGUGUUCUAAAUAGAGAAAUGGCUUUUAAAUAGAUUUUCUGUGAUGCUGCUGCAGGUCUUUGAAGAAUGAAGAUCAUUGGCUGAUGGGUUCUAUUAAUGUUCCUCGGUGUUUCAGAUAAACAUCUGUCUUGUGCUUUGACCAAAAAUUUAUAUAAAUUUCGAGUGCUUGAUCUGAAAGAGAGUUUUAUCAGCACAGAUGGUGAUACUUAGCCUUUUCCCAGUACAGUAGUCUCUGGGUCGUGACGGUUUUAGACUUGAGUGCUGUCAUUCUUCUGAUACUCGAUACCUGCAUUUUCUGCUGGGCAAUCAAAGCACUGUAUUUCGGUCUCUAACAGAUUUAGUUGAAGAAAGUUCCACCUUUAAUUUUCUGUUGUACCCCUGUGCUGGAGUUUACUGUCUCCAUUUCAGGUCCAGCUCAUUAUGUUGUGCCUCUUGAACCCAGUUUUAUAACGCAAAGAAAGAACCGCAUGUAUUGUUGCAUCUGUCUCUGCUGUUGGGCAGUAACUUCUGGCAGUGGUGAACAUGUAAACCACCUCAGCCAGCGUAGCAAAAUCUGCAGGUGGUCUAUGAACUGAAGCCUGUUGUUACUCAGUCUCUUCCUCAGCAUAUACUAAUAAAAAGAAGCAAUUCCACAAGC